CUUUUAUCGAGAGAGGUGGAGGGAAAGGCCCUAUGAAACCUCGGCAACCUGCAAACGUAUUUGUUUGAAAAGGUGCCAAUUCCUACUCUAAGUGAACUUAGAGAGAGAUAAGAG
rnacentral:ncRNA from 19 species